rnacentral:rRNA from 1 species
CACUAACUGGAGGACCGAACCGACUAAUGUUGAAAAAUUAGCGGAUGACUUGUGGCUGGGGGUGAAAGGCCAAUCAAACCGGGAGAUAGCUGGUUCUCCCCGAAAGCUAUUUAGGUAGCGCCUCGUGAAUUCAUCUCCGGGGGUAGAGCACUGUUUCGGCAAGGGGGUCAUCCCGACUUACCAACCCGAUGCAAACUGCGAAUACCGGAGAAUGUUAUCACGGGAGACACACGGCGGGUGCUAACGUCCGUCGUGAAGAGGGAAACAACCCAGACCGCCAGCUAAGGUCCCAAAGUCAUGGUUAAGUGGGAAACGAUGUGGGAAGGCCCAGACAGCCAGGAUGUUGGCUUAGAAGCAGCCAUCAUUUAAAGAAAGCGUAAUAGCUCACUGGUCGAGUCGGCCUGCGCGGAAGAUGUAACGGGGCUAAACCAUGCACCGAAGCUGCGGCAGCGACACUGUGUGUUGUUGGGUAGGGGAGCGUUCUGUAAGCCUGUGAAGGUGUGCUGUGAGGCAUGCUGGAGGUAUCAGAAGUGCGAAUGCUGACAUAAGUAACGAUAAAGCGGGUGAAAAGCCCGCUCGCCGGAAGACCAAGGGUUCCUGUCCAACGUUAAUCGGGGCAGGGUGAGUCGACCCCUAAGGCGAGGCCGAAAGGCGUAGUCGAUGGGAAACAGGUUAAUAUUCCUGUACUUGGUGUUACUGCGAAGGGGGGACGGAGAAGGCUAUGUUGGCCGGGCGACGGUUGUCCCGGUUUAAGCGUGUAGGCUGGUUUUCCAGGCAAAUCCGGAAAAUCAAGGCUGAGGCGUGAUGACGAGGCACUACGGUGCUGAAGCAACAAAUGCCCUGCUUCCAGGAAAAGCCUCUAAGCAUCAGGUAACAUCAAAUCGUACCCCAAACCGACACAGGUGGUCAGGUAGAGAAUACCAAGGCGCUUGAGAGAACUCGGGUGAAGGAACUAGGCAAAAUGGUGCCGUAACUUCGGGAGAAGGCACGCUGAUAUGUAGGUGAAGUCCCUCGCGGAUGGAGCUGAAAUCAGUCGAAGAUACCAGCUGGCUGCAACUGUUUAUUAAAAACACAGCACUGUGCAAACACGAAAGUGGACGUAUACGGUGUGACGCCUGCCCGGUGCCGGAAGGUUAAUUGAUGGGGUCAGCGCAAGCGAAGCUCUUGAUCGAAGCCCCGGUAAACGGCGGCCGUAACUAUAACGGUCCUAAGGUAGCGAAAUUCCUUGUCGGGUAAGUUCCGACCUGCACGAAUGGCGUAAUGAUGGCCAGGCUGUCUCCACCCGAGACUCAGUGAAAUUGAACUCGCUGUGAAGAUGCAGUGUACCCGCGGCAAGACGGAAAGACCCCGUGAACCUUUACUAUAGCUUGACACUGAACAUUGAGCCUUGAUGUGUAGGAUAGGUGGGAGGCUUUGAAGUGUGGACGCCAGUCUGCAUGGAGCCGACCUUGAAAUACCACCCUUUAAUGUUUGAUGUUCUAACGUGGACCCGUGAUCCGGGUUGCGGACAGUGUCUGGUGGGUAGUUUGACUGGGGCGGUCUCCUCCUAAAGAGUAACGGAGGAGCACGAAGGUUGGCUAAUCCUGGUCGGACAUCAGGAGGUUAGUGCAAUGGCAUAAGCCAGCUUGACUGCGAGCGUGACGGCGCGAGCAGGUGCGAAAGCAGGUCAUAGUGAUCCGGUGGUUCUGAAUGGAAGGGCCAUCGCUCAACGGAUAAAAGGUACUCCGGGGAUAACAGGCUGAUACCGCCCAAGAGUUCAUAUCGACGGCGGUGUUUGGCACCUCGAUGUCGGCUCAUCACAUCCUGGGGCUGAAGUAGGUCCCAAGGGUAUGGCUGUUCGCCAUUUAAAGUGGUACGCGAGCUGGGUUUAGAACGUCGUGAGACAGUUCGGUCCCUAUCUGCCGUGGGCGCUGGAGAACUGAGGGGGGCUGCUCCUAGUACGAGAGGACCGGAGUGGACGCAUCACUGGUGUUCGGGUUGUCAUGCCAAUGGCACUGCCCGGUAGCUAAAUGCGGAAGAGAUAAGUGCUGAAAGCAUCUAAGCACGAAACUUGCCCCGAGAUGAGUUCUCCCUGACCCUUUAAGGGUCCUGAAGGAACGUUGAAGACGACGACGUUGAUAGGCCGGGUGUGUAAGCGCAGCGAUGCGUUGAGCUAACCGGUACUAAUGAACCGUGAGGCUUAACCUU